AAUGAUACGUAGCCGACCUGAGAGGGUAAUCGGCCACAUUGGGACUGAGACACGGCCCAAACUCCUACGGGAGGCAGCAGUAGGGAAUCUUCCACAAUGGACGAAAGUCUGAUGGAGCAACGCCGCGUGAGUGAAGAAGGGUUUCGGCUCGUAAAACUCUGUUGUUAAAGAAGAACAUAUCUGAGAGUAACUGUUCAGGUAUUGACGGUAUUUAACCAGAAAGCCACGGCUAACUACGUGCCAGCAGCCGCGGUAAUACGUAGGUGGCAAGCGUUGUCCGGAUUUAUUGGGCGUAAAGCGAGCGCAGGCGGUUUUUUAAGUCUGAUGUGAAAGCCUUCGGCUCAACCGAAGAAGUGCAUCGGAAACUGGGAAACUUGAGUGCAGAAGAGGACAGUGGAACUCCAUGUGUAGCGGUGAAAUGCGUAGAUAUAUGGAAGAACACCAGUGGCGAAGGCGGCUGUCUGGUCUGUAACUGACGCUGAGGCUCGAAAGUAUGGGUAGCAAACAGGAUUAGAUACCCUGGUAGUCCAUACCGUAAACGAUGAAUGCUAAGUGUUGGAGGGUUUCCGCCCUUCAGUGCUGCAGCUAACGCAUUAAGCAUUCCGCCUGGGGAGUACGGCCGCAAGGCUGAAACUCAAAGGAAUUGACGGGGGCCCGCACAAGCGGUGGAGCAUGUGGUUUAAUUCGAAGCUACGCGAAGAACCUUACCAGGUCUUGACAUACUAUGCAAAUCUAAGAGAUUAGACGUUCCCUUCGGGGACAUGGAUACAGGUGGUGCAUGGUUGUCGUCAGCUCGUGUCGUGAGAUGUUGGGUUAAGUCCCGCAACGAGCGCAACCCUUAUUAUCAGUUGCCAGCAUUAAGUUGGGCACUCUGGUGAGACUGCCGGUGACAAACCGGAGGAAGGUGGGGAUGACGUCAAAUCAUCAUGCCCCUUAUGACCUGGGCUACACACGUGCUACAAUGGAUGGUACAACGAGUUGCGAACUCGCGAGAGUAAGCUAAUCUCUUAAAGCCAUUCUCAGUUCGGAUUGUAGGCUGCAACUCGCCUACAUGAAGUCGGAAUCGCUAGUAAUCGCGGAUCAGCAUGCCGCGGUGAAUACGUUCCCGGGCCUUGUACACACCGCCCGUCACACCAUGAGAGUUUGUAACACCCAAAGUCGGUGGGGUAACCUUUUAGGAACCAGCCGC
rnacentral:rRNA from 1 species